rnacentral:rRNA from 1 species
GACGAACCGUCCAAACGUUAUUCGGAAUUACUGGGCGUAAAGCGCGCGUAGGCGGACCUGCAAGUCGGGGGUGAAAGCCCGAGGCUCAACCUCGGAACUGCCUUCGAUACUGCGGGUCUCGAGUCCGGGAGAGGUGAGUGGAAUUCCUAGUGUAGAGGUGAAAUUCGUAGAUAUUAGGAAGAACACCAGUGGCGAAGGCGGCUCACUGGCCCGGUACUGACGCUGAGGCGCGAAAGCGUGGGGAGCAAACAGG